CUCAUGGUUGUUUUCGAUAAACUCACCCAGACAGCUGAUUUUCUGGGGAAUGUCAGCAGCGAGCUUGUCUAUAGAGAGCCGCACACUAAUCACCUCUGUCAUUAGUGACUUCGUUACGUUUACUAAAACCUAAACUACCGUGCCAUUCUGUGUCCAAAUUCAUUGGGGCAUCUCAUCUAUUGCAGAGCAUGACAUAUUGACAUUCUGACGUGAUUAGAGUUGUACUCCAUACAAAAAUAAAAUCCAAAAUUAGGCUUUCUGUAUUAUGAGGGCAGUCUAAG